rnacentral:rRNA from 1 species
UGCGCAGGUGGGGAUGUAAGUCAGUGGUGAAAUGUUGCCGCUCAACGGUAAAAUUGCCAUUGAUACUGCAUCUCUUGAGUAUGGUUGAGGUAGGCGGAAUGUGUUGUGUAGCGGUGAAAUGCAUAGAUAUGACACAGAACACCGAUUGCGAAGGCAGCUUACUAAGCCAUUACUGACGCUGAGGCACGAAAGAGUGGGUAGCGAACAGGAUUAGAUACCCUGGUAGUCC